UUCACUCAGCUCCAUCAUGAGGCCUUUGUGGUCUUCCCUCUCGUACAGCCGCAGCCUGUGGGAGACUGUCUACUCGGUCCACAGAAAGAAGGAUGGAAAAAAGCAAAUGAGUCUCUUCCAGAAUUUGUCCAACCAAAGAACAGAUGAACUUGUGUGAUGGGGCCUGCGGCUGCACAGCCAGUCUAUAUAGCAGGAUGGCUGCUGCGUUGGCAAGAACAACACAAAAGGGGCCCUCAGCGACUACUACAACAGCUUCUUCAUGAUGUCCAAACCCCAAUUUGGCCUCUCUCUGAUCCUUCAUCUAUGCUGCUGUCACAUGGGCCUUCCGGUGAUCUUAUCUGAAGCAUUAAAAGCAAGAACACAAGAUGGCGUUUUGCUAUGUUGCCCAGGGUGGUCUCAAACUCCUUGUAUGAUUCUCCCCAGGGUCUGAAAGCUUAAGGGGAUGAGUAACCCCUCCCUUCCCAGGCCCAGUCCCAAGGCGCAAGGUCACUUGUGUCAGCAGUGUGCGCCAGCAGGAUAGCAGAAGCAGGAAGAGAGCCGGCUGGAAGACACGUACCCCCGAAGAUCGAGAAAGAGGCCAUCCGGGUACAACGUAGCAGUUACGUCAGACUAGGACACUUCCUGUUUACAGGAGACUGUAAAACCUUUGCCCCGUCCUCACUUGGUGCUGACGCCAUUUUAAGCCUCGGCCUUCCUGCACUCAGGCGCACCCAGGCGCUCCUUAAAACAGCUUAUUGCUCCACACCUCCUCGUGUUGUCUGUGGACGCGCUCUUGGGGUUGGAACCGAUACAAGAACCUUACACUGCUGGGCUCAAGUGAUCUGCCUGCCUCGGCCUCCCAACGUGUUGGGAUUACAGGCGUGAGCCACCACGCCUGGCCUAUUCUUUUACUUUUUAAAAUUUUGUGAAAAACUAAGACACAAACACACACAUUAGUUUAGGCCUACACGGGGUCAGGAUCAUCAAUAUCACUGUCUACCACUUCCACAUGUUGUACCACUGGAAGAUCUUCACGGGCAAAAACACACAUGGAACUGUCACCUAUGAUGAUGAUGCUUCCUUCUGUAGUACCUCCUGAAGGCUCUGCCUGAAGCUGUUUACAGUUAACUUUUUUUUUUAAAAAAAAGUAUAAGUAGAAGGAGAAUACUCUAAAGUGAUGAUAAAAAGUAUAGUAUAGCAAGCUGGGCACGGUGGCUCACACCUAUAAUCCCAGCACUUUGGGAGGCCGAGGCAGGCGGACCACCUGAGUAUUGACUUUCUCUUUAUGUUGGAUUUAGGAGGAGGACAGGACAUCUUUUUCUUUGCCUGUAUCCCAGGGAUAGGAGCAAAAAAUUUCUAAGAAUAAUGACUUGAUCAAAGAGAUUCGGGGACUCUAAUCCCUUUCAGUUCAGAUGUUUUAGAAUAAUUUUCAUGCCUAAAGACGGUGAUUUACUUUUAUUUUUAUUUUUAGAGAUAGAGUCUCUCUCUGUUGCCCAGGCUGGAGUGCAGUGACGUGAUCUCACCUCACUGCAACCUCCGCCUCCCAGGUUCAAGCGAUUCUCGUGCUUCAGCUUCUGUAGUAGCUGGGAUUACAGGCAUGUGUCACCACGUGCAGCUAAUUUUUGUAUUUAAAUUUAGUAGAGACGGGGUUUCGGCAUGUUGGUCAGGCUGGUCUCAAACUCCUGGCCUCAAGUGAUCCGCCUGUCUUGGCCUUCCAAAAUGUUGGGAUUACAGGCGUGAGCCACUGCACCCAGCCAAAAUAUGUGAUUUUAUGUCUUCUAGGAAAAUAGUGUAAAAUUCAGCACGUUAAGAAGCUUUUGGUUUUCUGAAUUAUGUUUGACAUGUUAUUGUUGACAAACAGAGGACUCUGAUUAAUAGCUCCAGGAAGCCAUCACUAUUGUUGCGAGUUUAAAGGUUAAAGACCCAAGAUUUAGGAAGAGUUAACACUAAAUAAUCCUAGAUUCUGACUGUUUUUCAGGAAAUAAAUCUUUAUAUGUAUUUGUGUUCUCUAUAUAUACACACAUACAGUAGGCUAAUAUACAUAUACAUACAGUAGGCUAAACUUAGGCUACACAUUUUUUUAAAAUGCUUGCUUUCUUCAAUAAUAAACUAACAUUAGCAUACUGUAACUUUGUAACAUAAACUUUUUAACAUUUUAAACCUUUUUGACACUUUUGUAGUAAUAUUUAGCACACACACACACACACACACAGUAGGGUAAACUUGCAUCCAAGUUUGCCUAGAACAGUCCUGGUUCAUGUCUCUUGUCCCAGUGUAAUUAUUAAUAGUAUAUACUUUCACUCUCAAAAAUGACCCAGUGUAGGCCAGGCGUGGUGGCUCACUCCUGUAAUCCCAGCACUUUGGGAGGCCGAGGUGGGUGGAUCACCUGAGGUCAGGAGUUUGAGACCAGCCUGGCCAACAUGGUGAAACUCUGUCUCUACUAAAAAUACAAACAUUAGCCGGGCGUGGUGGCACACGCCUGUAGUUCUGGCUACUUGGGAGGCUGAAGCAGGAGAACUGCUUGAACUGGGAGGCAGAGGUUGCAGUGAGCUGAGAUUGCACCACUGAACUCCCGCCUGGGUGACAGAGUGAGACUCCAUCUCAAAAAAAAAAAAAAAAAAAACCCAAAAUCAAAACAAAUGACCGAGUUUAUGACUGGGUGUGGUGGCUCACACCUGUAAUUCUGGCACUUUGGGAGGCCCAGACAAGAGGAUCGCUUGAGCUCAGGAGUUUGAGACCAGCCUGGGCAACAUGGCAAGACCCUGUCUCUACUAGAAAUAAAAAAAAUUAGCUGAGCAUGGUGGUGUGCGCCUGUAAUCCCAGCUAUUUGGGAGGCUGAGGUGGGAGGAUCGCUUGAGCCCUGGAGACGCAGGUUUACAGGGCUGGGAUUACAGGUGUGAGCCACCACGCCCGGCCACUUAGUAUUAUUAUGUGUAAUCAUAAUAUUUUACUCUCUACUGAAAUGACAUGAGGCUGAGCUUCCCGUGCGCAUGUGGUUUUUGUAAAUGUCCUGAAAUUAUUCCACAAAGCACAUAUAGCGAAAACACAGUGAAUUCUAUUUGGACUGGAAAUCUCAUAGUGGAAUGAGAUAUUGGCAGUGGAAGUGAGAGGAAAGGGAUGGUGACUGUUAGGAGGACAGGAGUGCAAUAGGUAAGAGUGGACCAGUUCAUUUAUUUGUUUGUUUAUGGAGCUGAGGUAGGAGUCUAGAG
rnacentral:lncRNA from 1 species